GCAACGGAGAUGAUAUAAUUAUCUGAGCUGCAGCACACGUGUUAUCUUAAUGGGAACUGUCCAUUGUGCUGCAUUGGGGCAAUCAGGAUGGGUUGUUGCGGAGCCCUGCACCAGUCAUCCACAAAUCAAUCCACACGCUGGAGCCCGCGGCCAGUUUGCGCCACCAGUUUCAGGCUGCAGCUACCAGCCUCGACGCACACAGGUUCCCCAACCCACUCAACUCGACCGCUCUCAUCCCACACAACAUGCUCAAUGUGUCCCAAUUAAGACUCCAGUCACUUGAUUCAAAAGGUUUCACAAUAUUAUUUUUAACCCAAGACCAGACCCCAUCCCCAAUAGUAAUGUGAUUGGAUCAGCUCCAUCAGUAGCGUAUGGUCAUCAUUUCAGAUCAGAUACACUGCAGUUUGGAAUGUCAUCAAACGUGGUCUUGUGAAACUUGUUUCUGUUCUUCUUGUCCUUCUUUCUCUCUCUCAAAGCCUAGAGUGCUUUCUGCAUUCCUGUAGGACAAAAGAGAAGUAGCAUGGAAUUCAAGUGCUUGCAGAAUAUAUUGUUUGGAAAUAAAUAAUAAACGAUUAUUUCUAAUGGCUUUUAAAUUGGAUGAAGUGAUAACCAGUUGCUGCUUACUCCUUCA
ensembl:lncRNA